AAAAAAAGAUCUUGCUUUGCCAAGCCUAUGCAUCUCUUCUCUUGGUAGAACUCUGCAUGUCUUUAUCUCUCUAAAACUUUCCUUCUCUUUGUAUUUAUGGAAUGUUUCCAGGUCAUUAAUGCCUACACGCACACCUAUGUAACCAAACUGGAAACAGAAGAUGUAACUGUAACUUUUCGUGUCAUAUCUGAUAAACAUCUUCUGUUUUUUGGAUUUGAGAAUAAUUUUUGCAGUUUUGUAAUGAGUGGAAACAUGAAUAAAAAAAGGUCACUUAAAAUUUAACCUUACCAUCUAGCAGAGUGAAGGUAUGCUUUCUUAAUGGCAUUGUUGGUCAAAAGAAG